GGAAAGCGAACAGCAAGCAAACGAACAUCUGGCCAACGAGGAUCGAGACCAUUGGACACGUUCGCGACACCGCCAGGAUUAGUUCGGUUAGAGUUGCUCUACGUUUACUCAAAAAUGCAAGCUCGACACGUUGACCGCCGCGGAUUGGCCGAACCAUCUGUGCUGGUCCCACGCUUUGCAUCUAUUUAGACACGGAUGUAACGGGUGGCUACACCGACUGGGGCCAGGCUAUUCGUUCAUUGUACAAACGUUGAAAUUAGAAACUGUGGAGGAAUGUUGGUCACAGAGGACGAUGACGUCUUUGUUAUUUUAGGAUGUUUUUAGUACUCAGGUUUAUGGUUAGCUUGGAAUGCUAAUUGAAGUUUACAAAAAACCUCCUCCUUUUUCGAAGUCGGUUAAAGAAGUUGUAUACUUCUGAAAAUUUCACUUGGAAGUUGAGAUAUCGUAAUAAGAACUUCGUACUCUUUGAUGGAAUUGUUUGAAUAAUAAACGGUUAGCACUGUUACUUCGGUCUCUUGGUUACGUAUUCGUUGAUAUUAAGAAUCUUCAAAAACGCUUUAAACAGAUCUUAGGAAAUAUUACGUUUCACGUGAAAAAAGUAAAUAAACUUUUUCCUUAUUUCCCCUACUGAAGUUUCCUGAAACAUUUGGAAGCAUCGCUUGUACCUGUCAAUAUUUUUGACAACUUUCGCACGAUAAACUUCUAAACACUGGACAGUUAGAUAAAUGAGAAGAAACAAUCAGCCUAUAAUAAAUAGAGAGACAAUAAAGUCACUGAUAAACGAUGUUCAAGCGAUCGAGUGCAACAACCCAGAGCCCAGGGGGACACCCCACAGGAUGCAGCGGUCAACGUGUUAAAAAGAAACCCACGAUCAAAACCACAUUCCCCAAUCGAUAGUUAAAUUUCCUCGACAGCGUUACACAGUUACCAAUCACCAAAUCCAGAUUCUCGUAUGUACAUUGUACAGUCAGGGGUGUGGAAGAAGAGUCCCGGUUAGUCCAACUUCACUCGACAGUGUUACUAAAGUUAAUUAAAGCUCUUCAGGUACUACAGUUCACGAGCUCAGGAGGAAGGUUGCCAAACCUCCUCAAGUAUUACGAUUCCGGAGCUCAAAUACAAGGUUGUUAAAGCUCCUCAGGUACUGGGAUUCUCGAGUUCAAGGAGGAAAACUGUUAAAGCUCCUCAGGUAUUAAGCUCAGCUUUUAGAGAUACGUCAGAAAUAGGUUGGAGAGAAUUAAAUAAAGCACUGGACAAUAUAAAGCUCCUCAGGUACUGGGAUUCUCGAGUUCCGGGAGGAAGAUUGUUAAAGCUCCCCAGGUAUUAAGCUCAGCUUUUAGAGAUACGUCAGAAAUAGGUUGGAGAGAAUUAAAUAAAGCACUCGACAAUAUAAAGCUCCUCAGGUACUGGGAUUCUCGAGUCCCGGAAGGAAGAUUGUCAAAGCUCCUAGGGUACUAGGCUCAGUUUUCAGAGGCACUCCGAUAAUAGUCUUGUAGAAAAUUAAAUAAAACACUCGAUAGUGUUAGCAAAGUUAAUCAAAGCCCCUCGGACUGUACGA